UCAGCCGCCUGCACUCUUAGCCGCUGGCCGCCGGAAGCCACGCCCCCGACAGUUCCCAUGGCCGAGCCGGGCAACUUCCGGGUUCGCUCCCGCUUCUCCUCUGUUGACCACCGUGGCUGAUGGGCUGGCGGCCAUCUUAGGUGCUGGCAAAAUGACUCACUUCCGGAGCGCAAUCUUGGGAACCGGAAGUGAGGUUUCCGGCCUGGGCGCCGGAAGUGAGGAUAACCCCAGUAGUCCCAAGAAGUAGAAACAUUGUGGUCCACACCUACAAGUGAGGAUACAUAGCUCAAAGAGACAAAUCAUUAUUACAGAGACUUGCUCAAGGACAAGCACCAGGCUUACAUCACAAAAUGAGUUAGGCCAAAAACGGCUUCUCUUAUGUCAAGAAAGCCAUGCCUGGUUUUCUUUUUUCUGCCCGCCCACCCCCCGCCCCCCCCAUCUGCCUACAGGAGGAGUAGGUGUCUUUGAAUUUUGAGGGAUGCACCUUGAGCAGGGCCACUUAAUGGCAGUGAAGCAAAGGGCAGGCAGAGCUCUUCCCUUCUCCAGGCCUCAGUUUAUUCACUGUUGACAUGGGACUAAUGAUACCAGCUCAUAGAACUGCUAUGAGGAUUAAAUUAGGUUAGCGGUUCACAAACUUUUACUCUCAAGACUGUUUUGUACUCUUUAAAAAUGAUAGAUUUCCCUGGUGGUACAGCGGUUAGGACUCCAUGCUCUCACUGCCAAGGGCCCUGGUGCAAUCCCUGGUCAGGGAACUAAAAUCCCACAAGCCAUGCAGUGUGGCCAAAAAAAAAAAAAAGAUUGAGGGCCUCAAAAAGUUUUUGCUAAUAUGGGUUAUAUCUGUCCAUGUUUACCAUAUUAUAAACUAAAACAAAUUUUUAAAAAUUAUUUUCAUUUUAAAAUAAUAAACAAUACCUUUUUUAAAAAGUAGCUAUAUUUCCCCAAAAUAUAGAGAAGAGUGACAACUGUUAUACAUUGUUGCAAAUCUCUUUAAAGUCUGGCUUCAUAGAAGAUAGGUGGAGUCUCACAUCUGCUUCUGCACUGAAUCUGUUGCAAUAUGUUGCUAGGCUUGAAGUAUGUGAAGAAAACUGAGCCUCAGGUAUGUGGUUCAACAAGGAAAGAGCUGCAGACCCAACUUUAAGAACAGCUUAGAACACCUGGCAAGGCCUUGGGAAUAGUAGUGAAAUGAAGCCAGUGAGUCAGGAAAAUGAGCUGAUAGCUUUGAGCAUCUCCCACACCCUGGGCCCCAAAGGACUGGCCCAGGUAGGCUCAGGCCCCACUCCAUCCAGGGAUGGUUGAGAAAUGGGGGCAGAAACAGCCCACUCCUGGAGAUAAGUAAACCCUAAGUGGGGGUAGGGGGAAGGGUGAGAAGGCCUUCCUACACCCCCAUAAGGCCAGGGGACCCUGAACAUGUCUGAGAUUUUCUCAGCAUCUGUGAAUGGAGAAUUGGGAUCAGAUUGUUAAGUAUUAAAACAUUUCCUGAAGGAAACCUCUGUAGUGCUGGAAACAUUCUCUGUCUUGGUUUGUUGUUGUUGUUUUUCCAAGGAACGUUUUAUCACUGACAGUGUUUAGAAUUACUAGUGUAUGGUUAUUCAAAAGAUUAAAUCUUGAUUUUAUGAUUGUUUAAAAAUUCUCCACAGAUGCACCUAGGGUGGACCACACCCACCUCAUCCCUAAUAUGAUACACCACUGGCUGUAGACAAAGGGACAGAUGCUUUGAAAGAAUCACAGUGGGGUAACACUGAGGGACACAAAGAGGGAGCUUGUCUGCAGGGGCUGGAGGAAGGAAAGGCUGGAAAAAAGACAUAAAAACGGUGUUAGCAGACAGCGUUUAUUAGUUGUUUUUCAUGCCCUGGACCCACACUCCCUUCUUUGUAUAACAUCAACCCAGUUUUUAUUAGGGGAAGCAGCUUUUCCUUUAUUUAACCCAUGUGGUCUGACUUAAAUUAACUUGAUUCUUGUGUGUGCAGUUGAGAACAGCAUUCCCAGUGGUUGUUUCAGGAAGCACAGGGAAGUAAUCCAGGUUUAUCCAGUAAAGCUCACGCCUUUGGCUUGCACUGAAAUGACUGUGGGGAGAAUCGACCUCAGCUGAGAAGCUGGGCGGUCAGCACGUGCUGUCAGCACUGAUGCAGGCACCACAGGUGGCAGCAACAGAGGGGAAACGUCUGGGAAGUGGCAAGAAAGGGGACAACAGAGUGAGCCAGAGGAUCGAGUCCAGCUCAGCUGAUUUUAAUUUUCUGACUAGUGAAUUCCAUCUUUUGCGUAAACAAUUUGAGUUGGGUUCCUUUCACUCAGCUCCUAGAGUCCAAGCUAAUAAUAAGGGUACCCUGGGAUGGACCAGUCACCUCUUCAGAUAAAAGCUGGAAGUGAAGCAAAGACCAAAAAAGCCAUCAUUAGCUGGGAUUCCUGCACAGGGACAUUUUGCCUAGAUUCUUUAUGCCCCUCCAACUAGGUCCCAGCUAGAUUUAAUCAGUGUCUUUUUUUCUUUUUAUUUAUUUAUUUAUUAUUUUGGGGGGGGGGAAUCAGUGUCUUUUUCUUGUUUGAAAAAGAGGAAAUGAGAGGGAGGAAGGAGCAAAAGAGGAGAAGAAAAAAGGAAUAUAAGAUGGAAAACUCAUCUUCCAACCACACUGAAAAGCCAUCCACAAAUAGUGGCAAAACACUGGUAACUUGAGCCCAGUGAUGAGUACUUACUCUGUUCUUGCUAUUCUUAUGUAUGUCUGGAAUUUUACUUACUAAAGUUUUUAUUUUUGAAGGAAGCAUGCAAUAUCAUGUAUCACUUGAUAUGGCAUGACAUGAUGAGAAAGGCACAUCACGUCUGUGGUAUUCUCCUGCUCUUAAACCUAUAAUCCCUGUCUAAUCAUUAGAAAAACAUCAGACAAACCCAAAUUGAGAGAAAUUUUGCAGAAAAACUGACCAGGAGUCUUGGUAACUGCCCAGGUCAUAGGAAACAUGGACAGACCAGAGGAGCCUAAGGAGACAAGACAGCUAAAUGCAGCAUGGGAUGCUGGAACAGAAAAGGACAUUGGUGGGAAAACUGAUUACCCUACAAAACCCUCCCUCCAGUGCUCAGAGAUAUGUAUGGGAUGUUUGUACAGACACGAGAGUGAUGGACAGGACUUGGUUCCCUAUGUGGGCACCUCAGAACAGCCUCAGGCUGCACCAACCCACCCCAGCAGGAAAUUUGCAGGGGGGCCUGACAACCCAUGUUCAAACAACUUCCUCACAUGAAUCCCAGAACCGCUGAGUUAUGGUAUACAAGAAAAUUAUGCAGGCAGUAGGAAGAUGUGUCUUAGAUCUAUGCUGACAUGAAAGAUGUCAAGGUCUGUGGUUAAGUGAAACGUGUAUGUGUGUGUGUGUAUAUGCAAAGAAAAGGGAAUGGAAAUUUUUCUAUCUGGGAAGAAAGGAGCAGGAGAAACUAAAGAUAGUGUCACUUUCCUCUUGCAUUUAUAUGUUGUUGACUCUAUGUAUUCAAUGUAAC